rnacentral:rRNA from 1 species
UACGAAGGGGGCUAGCGUUGCUCGGAAUCACUGGGCGUAAAGGGCGCGUAGGCGGCGUUGUAAGUCGGGGGUGAAAGCCUGUGGCUCAACCACAGAAUUGCCUUCGAUACUGCAUGGCUUGAGACCGGAAGAGGUUAGUGGAACUGCGAGUGUAGAGGUGAAAUUCGUAGAUAUUCGCAAGAACACCAGUGGCGAAGGCGGCUGACUGGUCCGGUUCUGACGCUGAGGCGCGAAAGCGUGGGGAGCAAACAGG